rnacentral:rRNA from 1 species
UACAGAGGGUGCGAGCGUUAAUCGGAAUUACUGGGCGUAAAGCGCACGUAGGUGGCGACGUAAGUCGGGUGUGAAAGCCCCGGGCUCAACCUGGGAAUUGCAUUCGAGACUGCAUUGCUGGAGUACGGAAGAGGAGGGCGGAAUUCCCGGUGUAGCGGUGAAAUGCGUAGAUAUCUGGAGGAACACCGGUGGCGAAGGCGGCAUCCUGGACCAACACUGACGCUGAGGAGCGAAAGCCAGGGGAGCAAACGGG